rnacentral:tRNA from 1 species
GCCUGAAUAGCUCAAUUGGUAGAGCAUGUGACUCAAUCUCCAGGUUUUGAGUUCAAGCCUCAAUUUUGGGCU